CGGCACGGGUGAGUAACACGUAUGCAAUCCACCUGUAACAGGGGGAUAACCCGGAGAAAUCCGGACUAAUACCCCAUAAUAUGGGCGCUCCGCAUGGAGAGUCCAUUAAAGAGAGCAAUCUUGGUUACAGACGAGCAUGCGCUCCAUUAGCCAGUUGGCGGGGUAACGGCCCACCAAGGCGACGAUGGAUAGGGGUUCUAAGAGGAAGGUCCCCCACAUUGGAACUGAGACACGGUCCAA
rnacentral:rRNA from 1 species